GAAGGGUCAGAGUUGGUUGGGGUUUUAUUUUAAACAGGAGUUGAUUAAUUGGAGCAUUGUCCUUGGUCCGAUUGCUGUGCUAAUUUCAGUCCAUUAAUGGCAUAUAUAUAUUUUCGGCUUUUUUCUGUUAUUGUUUUUUAUCUCUACCAUUUUGCUGCAGGGGAAAUUUGACAAACGUGUGAAGCGUUUUAAGAAUUGAACCACAUGCAGAAAAUCGCAGACCUGACAGAAACUAAUCUCUACCUCAGCGGAUGUAAUCUUGCUGUUACCGGUAGAUCUGCUCUUAGUUCAUCUGUCGGGUUUUUGGUGGUCAAGAGGAUUGCAAAAGCGGUGCUUAUUGAGAAUAUGGUACCUCAAUACGUCAUCAUGAAGAUUGAGCAGAAUAAG